rnacentral:rRNA from 1 species
CAAUAGCGUAUAUUAAAGUUGUUGCAGUUAAAAAGCUCGUAGUUGGAUUUCGGGACGGGCCAGUUGGUCCGCCGCAAGGUGUGUUACUGACUGGUCUGUUCUUCUUCGCAAAGACUGCGUGUGCUCUUCGUUGAGUGUGCGUAGGAUUUACGACGUUUACUUUGAAAAAAUUAGAGUGUUCAAAGCAGGCUAUCGCUUGAAUACAUGAGCAUGGAAUAAUGGAAUAGGACUUUGGUCCUAUUUUGUUGGUUUCUAGGACCGAAGUAAUGAUUAAGAGGGACAAUUGGGGGCAUCCGUAUUUCGUCGUCAGAGGUGAAAUUCUUGGAUUUACGAAAGACGAACAACUGCGAAAGCACUUGCCAAGAGUGUUUUCAUUAA